AACCAUGUAGUGAAAUUCACACCGGAUUGCAAAUCUGGAAAUACACAUUUAUUGGUGUCUUGGUUU
rnacentral:tRNA from 1 species